CUUCUUGGGAUGGGGGUGGAGAGCAGGGGUGAGGAUGGAGGGCAAAUGCCAUCCUCAUUUUUUUUUUUUUUUACACAAUAGAGGCCUGCCCCGGAGGCUAAAUGACCCAGUCACACACAAACAGCAACACAAAGGCUGAGUCAGAACCUGGCUGGGUCUCAGGCCUUACCCCCAGAGCAGCUACUUCCUCCUAAAUAUCUCUAAGCCCUCAGUUUCUUGGGCCUUUAGUUUUAGCAUCUGGGCUGCCAUGCUUUUGCUCCUAGUUACGCUGUUUCCACCACCUCCAUCUGGGGAUCUCUGUGGAAGUGAAACUGCGUACCGCAGAUGGGACUUGAACCUACAAUCUUUGGCUUAGGAAAGGGAUUUGAACCCCAAAUCUCCCAGCUGAAACUGCAUACCUCGUCUCAGGACUUAAUGAAGCUCAGGUUCUUUGCGUCUUGGCCCAGAAGGAAUUCGUCACAUGUGGGAUCUAACCUGUACCCCCGGAACUGGACCACCAGCAUGUAGCACAGAGGUCCUGGAACACAGUGAGAACAAGCACCCCACCCCCACCACCCCGGCUGCCAAGAUUUUUGAAUGAGU
rnacentral:lncRNA from 1 species